AGUGAACGCUGGCGUUAGGCCUAACACAUGCAAGUCGAACGGCAGCACAGUAAGAGCUUGCUCUUACGGGUGGCGAGUGGCGGACGGGUGAGGAAUACAUCGGAAUCUACUUUUUCGUGGGGGAUAACGUAGGGAAACUUACGCUAAUACCGCAUACGACCUACGGGUGAAAGCAGGGGAUCUUCGGACCUUGCGCGAUUGAAUGAGCCGAUGUCGGAUUAGCUAGUUGGCGGGGUAAAGGCCCACCAAGGCGACGAUCCGUAGCUGGUCUGAGAGGAUGAUCAGCCACACUGGAACUGAGACACGGUCCAGACUCCUACGGGAGGCAGCAGUGGGGAAUAUUGGACAAAGGGCGCAAGCCUGAUCCAGCCAUACCGCGUGGGUGAAGAAGGCCUUCGGGUUGCAAAGCCCUUUUGUUGGGAAAGAAAAGCAGCAGGUUAAUACCCCGCUGUUCUGACGGUACCCAAAGAAUAAGCACCGGCUAACUUCGUG
rnacentral:rRNA from 1 species